rnacentral:piRNA from 1 species
UACAAAGUCUAACUAAUGGAAUUUCAUGGUC